GCAACAUCCGGGAAACAUCACCUCCUACAUCCGGUCUGUCCAGCAAUGUUUCCAGUGAUCCCAGCAUUCACAUUGGAAUGAAACAGGACAAAGAGAACGUACGUUUAGGAGCUGUGAUGGAAGAGCCGACAUUGAGUGCUCGGGAGGAGGAAGAGGAGGAGGAAGAGGAGGAAGAACAGGCCCUGACUGGAAAGGAAGAUUUGGCUCUGCG